CGCGGCCUAUCAGCUUGUUGGUGAGGUAACGGCUCACCAAGGCAGUGACGGGUAGCUGGUCUGAGAGGACGAUCAGCCACACUGGGACUGAGACACGGCCCAGACUCCUACGGGAGGCAGCAGCAGGGAAUUUUGCACAAUGGGCGCAAGCCUGAUGCAGCGACGCCGCGUGGGGGAUGAAUGCCUUCGGGUUGUAAACCCCUUUCAGGAGGGACGAAGCGAAAGUGACGGUACCUCCAGAAGAAGCCCCGGCCAACUACGUGCCAGCAGCCGCGGUAAUACGUAGGGGGCGAGCGUUGUCCGGAUUUAUUGGGCGUAAAGAGCUCGUAGGCGGCUCAACAAGUCGGCCGUGAAAGCCUGAGGCUCAACCUCAGGACGCCGGUCGAAACUGUUGUGGCUAGGGUUCGGUAGAGGAGAGUGGAAUUCCCGGUGUAGCGGUGAAAUGCGCAGAUAUCGGGAGGAACACCAGUAGCGAAGGCGGCUCUCUGGGCCGACACCGACGCUGAGGAGCGAAAGCUAGGGGAGCAAACAGGAUUAGAUACCCUGGUAGUCCACGCCGUAAACGAUGGGUACUAGGUGUUGGGAGGAUUGACCCUUUCAGUGCCGACGCUAACGCAUUAAGUACCCCGCCUGGGGAGUACGG
rnacentral:rRNA from 1 species